UUAGUUGAAGCUAAAAUAGAAGCGUUUUAUUGUUAAUAAAGAUAUUGAUUUAAAAUCCAACUAAA
rnacentral:tRNA from 1 species